GAUGGGGUGCAGAGUUGGUGGGCGGCUUCUUCUGCAGGGGAAGAGGGAGUGCAGAGUUUGUUCUCACUGCAGCACACAUUUCCCUCCCCUUUUUGACUUUUCUUUCUAUUUUCUUUCUCUUUUCUUUCUUACUAACUUUAUUGACUUGUGUGCUCAACUUGAGCUAGUGGCAAUAAGUGGGCCAUGUAAUUCCAGCCUUUGUGAUAUUCUAGUCGAAUUUUUCCCAAGCUGGGAACUAAACUGUAAUCCGUGAACUGUAAAUAAAAUACUGGCUUCGAUUUUUAAUCAUCGCG
rnacentral:lncRNA from 1 species